GACGAACGCUGGCGGCGUGCCUAAUACAUGCAAGUAGAACGCACAGUUUAUACCGUAGCUUGCUACACCAUAGACUGUGAGUUGCGAACGGGUGAGUAACGCGUAGGUAACCUGCCUGGUAGCGGGGGAUAACUAUUGGAAACGAUAGCUAAUACCGCAUAAUAUUAAUUAUUGCAUGAUAAUUAAUUGAAAGGUGCAAUUGCACCACUACCAGAUGGACCUGCGUUGUAUUAGCUAGUAGGUGAGGUGACGGCUCACCUAGGCGACGAUACAUAGCCGACCUGAGAGGGUGAUCGGCCACACUGGGACUGAGACACGGCCCAGACUCCUACGGGAGGCAGCAGUAGGGAAUCUUCGGCAAUGGACGAAAGUCUGACCGAGCAACGCCGCGUGAGUGAAGAAGGUUUUCGGAUCGUAAAGCUCUGUUGUAAGAGAAGAACGGGUGUGAGAGUGGAAAGUUCACACUGUGACGGUAUCUGACCAGAAAGGGACGGCUAACUACGUG
rnacentral:rRNA from 1 species